rnacentral:rRNA from 1 species
CAUCCGCCAGAGAAUUACAAGAGAAAAUCUUAAAACUCAAAGGACUUGACGGUGGCCUGCACCAACCUAGAGGAGCCUGUCUUCUAAUCGAUACUCCACGAUCUACCUCACCACCCCUCGCAACAACAAGCCUAUAUACCGCCGUCGCCAGCCUACUUAAUGAUAAUCAAAAAAUAGGCAAAAUAGUCGUACCACUAGUACGUCAGGUCAAGGUGUAGCUAAUGGGGUGGGAAAUGAUGGGCUACAUUUUCUAUCUACCAGACCAAGCCACAAGCUUUAUGAAACUUAGGCCCAAAGUCGGAUUUAGCAGUAAGCACUGACAAGAUAUGCCUAACUGAAGCCUGCCCCAGGCCACGUACACACC